CACCUCACUAGAGCAGAAAGCAGGAGGGAGAAAGAAAGAAAAUCACAGCCAUACAUUCUGCGCUUCCCCCAGCUGAGCUGUAUCUGCAGUCGAACGGUGGGGGAAAAAAACCCCAAAAGAAACAGCAACUUUAUGGAGACGUGCUCCUCCCGCAAACCUGCCAGCCUCAUCUGUCAGCCAUUAGUUAAUCAGGGCUGGUGACUGGAAAAACUGGAGAGAGAACGGGCGAGGCCCCUGGGACUGGAGGACAGCUUCAAUCUCCGAGAGCGCAACGAGGGCAAGGACUCUGGGACCUGAAGAUCCACAGCUGGCUCUACAGAAAUGGUAGCUGGAAAACCCCAAGUGAACCCCACCCACUGCAUAACUCACAACAGGUAAGCUCAGCUGACAGAUUCUAUCUGACAAACAUCUAGGCUGUACCUUCGUCUGCGCAGAACCUCACAGAUAUUCCAACAGAUUGAGAAAAGAACGAGGACUAAGCCUUUUUAAAGACUUCCUUUAAAAAGGAAGUCUUUUAAAUGCACCACAGUAAGUUCUACCAAGUUACAAUGGCAACAAAACAAUGAGUUGUGAAAGUUAUUAUUGUGAAAAAAAAAACUAAGCUAAUGAGUUAGCUAGCUUCAGUAAGAGUGAGAUGUUUCACAUGAAAUUAGAGGAAGUACAGAGAGAUUUUUAUUGGCUCUGUUUCAUUCAAUGUGCAGAGACAUGCCUGAAAUUCAUUUAGUCUGCAAGAGAGUGAGCGAGAGCAAGACAUCGAUGCAUGACAGAACAGCUAAACAGAGAAUAGCAGAGUAACCCUAUCCUCCCUUUUUGAGUUUUUAACCUAUGCAGAAUCAGGAAAUGUUGUCAGCAUUUUGGAAAUCUCAAGAGUUAAACAAGCCUCUACAUUACUAAGAUAAUACAUAAGGAAACUGCUCUUUAAGAACUCGGCUAACAGCGGAGAUUUUUUUUUUUUUUAAUGUAAAAUCCACAAUCAGUUUAUGUUUGUUUUAAGAGUAAAAGUAAAACUCGGCUUUCUUAUUAUACUAUUACACAAACCUGCCUGCAAGACAGGCUAAGGUCAAAUUCCAGGCUCCAAGCUCUCAAUACAAGAGGAUGUUAAUACCAAGCAUAUGGUAACUGUACACAGGCUCUUAAAGGGAACUCAGAGCAAGAGUAAACUUGCAAGUACAGACUGCAGGAGGGGAAGUCUGGAGGUUUGCCCAUGGCUCAAUGUUGCCAAAGUUGUUGCAUACAGUAUCUUGUAUGUGGAAUGUUACAAGUCAACUAAGACACACUAGUUUGCGUACAAAUGAGAUAGCUGGGAACAGAAUGUACUUUAACGUAGUGUCCGAUCUUUUUAAGUGUGUUCUCAGAUGCAGAGAAUACAAAUUCUGAACAAAAGAAUUUGUUCAGAACUCUUCCUGCUGUUCGUGGUUUUGUUUUGUUUUUACAGGAAGGUUUUGAAGGACCGGAGUCCAAACGACACAUGCUGUCACUGGUGGGAGCAGAGGAAUUUCAGGAGCCAUGGAUCAGUUCUGUUCUGCAGAAAAACAACCCGGAGUAACAUCAUGCUAUCUUUCACAUAGUUGUGAUGUGCAAAGUCGUUCUCCUAAUUGUGAAUGCAGAUGAUGACAUGAAAUAAUGACUUCCUGUUUCUUCUGUUUAGCAGACUGUUAACUGUAAGUACAGCAAACUUCAGACAGGUUGGUGCUAAACAGCCUAUUCUGGACUCGGUGCCUGUAAGUACAAAUCUGCCAGCUACAAAUAGACAGAACAACACAUUUUGUCCUAUCUUCUUUUCUGAAAAGAGGUAAGUAAAAGUAAAAGUAAAAGCCAGGUUUAGGAAAUCGUAUAAAAAGGUAUAGUUCGAAAGUAAUGCAGAUUUGCAUUAGUUUCCUAUAGUUUAAAAAGAUUUCAAUGAGAUACCCAAGAAAUUUGCAUGACUAGUAAUUUCUCUGGUUGUACAUGUAUGCCUUUUACACUUUACUGUACAAAACACAAAGCAGCAUAAAGAUAUUUAUGAUGCACAAUAAGCAUUUUAAAACCGCAAUUUGUUUCAAAUUGAAAAAUGAACAAAUAGGAGUUAUUCAUAUGUUAUACCAAAACAUUGUUAAAAAAAAUGCUAUUAUUUUUAGUAGCAGUAAAGGUAUUUGUAUUUUUUUCAAUAAAAAAAAAAAGUUUGUUAAAAAAGUUUGUUUUAAAUCUUGGUGUAAAAACUGUGAUAUAUUUGGUAUUUUUAUUUAAAGAUAUCACCAUUAUCGUGAGAGGAUCUUAUAUAUUCCUAUGCCUAGACAUGUUUAACUUUUUGUAAACACACAACAUAAAAUAUAGUUGCAAAAAUAUUGAUUAACCGAGGAAAUAACAAAAUGUAUGUAUGUUGCAUGUUGAAGCUAACAAAAAAUCCACAGUGAAGACCAGGUAUAAGAUUUUCCACUAAAUCUCUGACAGUGUUCCCAAGUAUUCCUCUCUUCCAGCUCAAUGUUGCAUAGCUGCAUUUCUAAUCUACAUGGCAGCCAGCCAUCUGCAGCUUUGAAUGAGGAAGUCUGAAGAGCUCUAGCAAGAAAAGGAUCUUGACCUUGAAUUUCAAGUACAAAUCUUAACAGUCAUCAAAAUCACAUUGUUUCGUUUUGGGUUUUUUUGUAAUAAUCCAACUCUUUACACCUUUGUUUUCGCCUUAAAGCCAGCACUCAUUAUUCCACAAUGUCUGCUUAAUAAUUGUAUUCUUUGUCCCUUUUUAGCCCCUGUGAGAUGAGAAAAAACACCACAUAGGUCAGUGAUUUGACAAAUAGUACCUAAAUGUAUUUUAGUCUAUUAAAAGAAUCUGAACACAUUGAAUGAGGCAAUGUUUGACACACGUCCUUGAACCAGUGGUCUGAUGAUGUUGACGACACACAAGCAGAAACUGAGAGGUAGCUGACUGGCAUGGACAACACAGCACAUAAAAGUCAAACAGUAUGGUGCAAGUAUAGUUAAACCUCUUAUGGAAAACAUGCUGACAUCUAUAGAAGAUCUUACAUGUCGUCAGUUUUAGGAUUAUUACAUCCCUGUUUGCUGACAGGAAGUUCAACACUCAAUCUAUCAUUGUCUAACCCAUUAGGAAGGAUAUCAGCUGCAUCUCAUUUUACUCCAUCAGCUUGGUGUUGAAAGGCCCAAAGAGCAUGAGGCCCCAUCAAAAUCAAGACUGUAGUCUUAUAUACGCGACACUGAGAUGAUCCAGUAUUUGUAGAUAUAACAGCUUCAGCUUCAUUACCACUCCUAAACAAAGUUUAGUUGGAAACAAAGUUUAGGAGUGUGGUAAUCAGAAUACUUGCAGUCUGUGCCCUAAUUCAUCCCUAAGGUGUUCUGUCAGUCCAACUCACCCACUCCAGACUGCGUCACACCAGUGUGUGCAGUCCCGUUGAAACGGGAAGGGACCAUCCCAAACUGUCCCCACAUAACAGUGAGUAUUAAAUGGUCAAAAACAUCUUUUAUACUGCAUCGUUAGAAGUUCUACUAGAAUUUGGGUCAAGCCCAAAUUCUUAAAAUAAAAACAACCCCUCACCAUAAUAAUUCUUCCAUCAUCGUUCACACUUGACAAUGCAGUCAGAAGAGGACUGUUCUCCACCACAUUCAGAUUCAUUCACUGGAUUACCAGGCAGGCAGACUUCAUUUGUCAGUCCAGAGAAAAUGUCUAUUGCUCUAGAGUCCAGUGGUUCCAUGGUUCAUACCACUUCAUAGGGGAACUUGGCGUUACAAGGCUUUGAUUUGAAAUUCUCAACCAUGAAAACCCAGUCCAUGUGUUUAGUACCCACCAUUCUGGAGAUAAUCUGAACAGCUCUUGGCUUCUGCACAAUGUGCAUGUUAGUCAGUGGUGUCCCUGCUUUGCUAGUUUACUUAGCUUAUCACUAAGUGGCUGUCAAAUGUUUAGUUGUGCAGAACUUUUACAAAUAGACUUAUUGUCCAUGUAGCAUCCUACCUAGCUCAUUUUGAUUUGUUGGGCCCUUGAGAAUGACCCAUUCUUGCACAAAUGUUUGGAAAAGCAUUGAGAUGCUGGAUUGUACACAUGCAGCAACAGAAGGGACUGGACAAUCUUAAUUGAUUUAGAGGGGUGACUCAGUAUUUUAGGUACAAUUGUACAAGUAUGAUGCAGAUAUAAACAAACAAUUCCAUUUGGCUUAAAAUUACAUUCCAAUAGGGUUGGAGCAAAGCAGAUGCUUUCUGCCUGUGUCAAGGCAAGGCCAUGCCCUCUGUCAUUCAGUAGACCUGGGAUACCCCAAACUAAAUGCUUCCAGACCUUAGUACCCCGUCUCUUCUCUUUUCGUCUCACUGCAUCUGCUCCUGAUCAACCUUGAAAAAACAUUUACUCUUCCGUACGAUAUAGGCUCCUCUCUUCGUCUCCUUAAUUUCUCCUAGUAGUAUGUUCAGGGAUUGACCGUUAACACAUGGAGCUAUUAAUAAAAUCUGCAGUGUCUCACACAGUGUUUUCAAAAUCCUUUGCAAAUAAAAAAUUUAAAGAGUGGUAAGCCAUCCCAAGCCAAUACUUUUUAAAAAUCAUCUUUUGCUGAAUUUACAGCUGCACAGUAACAGACAGAUGUUUUGAGGGGGGGGUUAACCAUAGUUUUUUUUGCAAGAUAGCUCUAGCUCAGUCAGAUCAGAUGGAGAGCUUACUUUCCAAGUCUUGCUGGAGAUUUUCCAUUUUGAUUUACAUGUGGACUUUGGCUGGGUCAUUCCAGCUUAUGUAUUUGAUCUAGAUAUGCAACCUCUCUUUGUUAAGAGAGGAUGUUCUGGUGGAAGGUCAGCCAAAGCCCCAGCCUUACACUGAAUUUUUAUGCAAUCUCUAAUAAGUUUCUUACCAGUGUUGGCCUGUAUUUUCUUUAAUCUUUCCAUCAAGUCUGACCAGUUUCCUUUGACCUAAUUAUCAAAAACGACCCCAAAGCAUAAUGCUGGUACUACCAUGUUUCAUCAUUUGUGAUGAAACAUGGUAUUUUGGAUAUUAUUUGUUGGAAAAAAUUAGGGAAAUUUAAACAAAUACUGUGCAUUGAAAUCUCUUUUGUGUGAAUUUGUAAAAGGCAUGUAUGUUUUCUUCUGCCUAGUGUCCUUAACGUUUACUUCCAGUCCUGACCUAAAUCAGCCUGAUGUGCAGAUACCUUGAAUCUUUAGAUCUGGUAUUCUGAUUACAUACAAAGAUGUCAGAAGUUUCUUCUUUUUUUCCCCCAAAAUACGCUAUUUCAUAUAAUGUGUCGAGACAAGCCUGUAAUUCAUUCAAACUGCAAGACAGUGAGUGAGAGCAAGACUUCAAUUGGUAACCCUGUCCUAAGUUUUUCAAUUUUUAAUCUCUGUCUGUGUGGAAACAUGCACAAUUGGGAAAUGCUGACCUGGUUUUCUGCCUCCAAGGUUUGUCAAGGUUUGCAUUAAUCUUUUGGCCAAACCACAACUUUCCUUUCGCCCAAAGGGGCCACAGCGUAAUACCGUCUCCCAAUGCAUAUUCAAGUGAAGGCUGUGACGAGAACCUUGUGCUUGUGAGGACCAGGGAGAACCUUUCAUCUACUAAUUUGGUUGCUCAAGCUCGACUGACAGGAAACGCCGGGCCCAUGAUGUCACAAACAACUGACCCCGAGGUGACAGGUUUGAGGAGUGUUCAUGCUCAUUGCUCUUAGGCUGGAGCAAGGAAUGUCGAUGCAUACAUGUGGUUUUGAUUUGAAGUUCUGUGAUUAGCUUGCAGACGCACUGCUGCCACGCCUCCGCCCCAUGCAAAGCAUAUAUUUUACAGGAAAUGGCAUGUUUUUGCUUAUAAGAAGGAAUAAAUAACUAAAGUGGUGCCUGUUAAUAUCAGUACAAUGAGCCAGAUUUUCCGUAGAUAUGACUUUUCUUAAGGUAAAUAGCAUUAGUAUGUAUUUUAUAACCAAAACUCUGACAAAUUAAUAAAAAAUGUGUUUGCUUUUUGUGAAAUGUCUGCAAUAAAUCUGAUUAUUCCUUGG